rnacentral:rRNA from 1 species
CCUACGGGGGGCAGCAGUGAGGAAUAUUGGUCAAUGGGAGAGAUCCUGAACCAGCCAAGCCGCGUGAGGGAAGACGGCCCUAUGGGUUGUAAACCUCUUUUGUCGGGGAACAAAACCCGGGACGUGUCCCGGACUGCGUGUAUCCGAAGAAAAAGCAUCGGCUAACUCCGUGCCAGCAGCCGCGGUAAUACGGAGGAUGCGAGCGUUAUCCGGAUUUAUUGGGUUUAAAGGGUGCGUAGGCGGUCCGUUAAGUCAGUUGUGAAAGUUUGCGGCUCAACCGUAAAAUUGCAAUUGAUACUGGCAGCCUUGAGUACAGUUGAGGUAGGCGGAAGUCGUGGUGUAGCGGUGAAAUGCUUAGAUAUCACGAAGAACUCCGAUUGCGAAGGCAGCCUACUAAACUGCCACUGACAUUGAUGCUCGAAAGUGUGGGUAUCAAACAGGAUUAGAUACCCUGGUAGUC